UUUAUGGAGAGUUUGAUCCUGGCUCAGGAUGAACGCUGGCGGCGUGCCUAAUACAUGCAAGUCGAGCGAACGGACGAGGAGCUUGCUUCUCUGAUGUUAGCGGCGGACGGGUGAGUAACACGUGGAUAACCUACCUAUAAGACUGGGAUAACUUCGGGAAACCGGAGCUAAUACCGGAUAAUAUUUUGAAC
rnacentral:rRNA from 1 species